AGAUUGAACGCUAGCGGGAUGCUUUACACAUGCAAGUCGAACGGCAGCGCGGACUUCGGUCUGGCGGCGAGUGGCGAACGGGUGAGUAAUAUAUCGGAACGUGCCCAGUAGCGGGGGAUAACUACGCGAAAGCGUGGCUAAUACCGCAUACGCCCUACGGGGGAAAGGGGGGAUCGCAAGACCUCUCACUAUUGGAGCGGCCGAUAUCAGAUUAGCUAGUUGGUGAGGUAAAGGCUCACCAAGGCGACGAUCUGUAGCUGGUUUGAGAGGACGACCAGCCACGCUGGGACUGAGACACGGCCCAGACUCCUACGGGAGGCAGCAGGUGGGAAUUUGGACAAGUGGGGGAAACCCUGGACUCCAGCCAUCCCGCGUGUGCGAUGAGGCCUUCGGUAGUAAGCUACUUGCGAGGAAGAACGCGU
rnacentral:rRNA from 1 species